UAUGUAUUCUCUCCGUUCGAAAUUACUUGUCUUAAAAAUAGAUAUAUCUAGAACUAAAAUAAGUCUAGAUACAUCCAUUUUUGUGACAAGUAAUUUCGAACGGAGGGAAUACUUG
rfam:Triticum aestivum genome assembly, contig: Triticum_aestivum_CS42_TGACv1_scaffold_049546_1BS